rnacentral:rRNA from 1 species
AGCAAUACGUCAGCGGCAGACGGGUGAGUAACGCGUGGGAACGUACCUUUUGGUUCGGAACAACCCAGGGAAACUUGGGCUAAUACCGGAUAAGCCCUUACGGGGAAAGAUUAUCGCCGAAAGAUCGGCCCGCGUCUGAUUAGCUAGUUGGUGAGGUAAUGGCUCACCAAGCGACGAUCAGUAGCUGGUCUGAGAGGAUGAUCAGCCACAUUGGGACUGAGACACGGCCCAAACUCCUACGGGAGGCAGCAGUGGGGAAUAUUGGACAAUGGGCGCAAGCCUGAUCCAGCCAUGCCGCGUGAGUGAUGAAGGCCCUAGGGUUGUAAAGCUCUUUUGUGCGGGAAGAUAAUGACGGUACCGCAAGAAUAAGCCCCGGCUAACUUCGUGCCAGCAGCCGCGGUAAUACGAAGGGGGCUAGCGUUGCUCGGAAUCACUGGGCGUAAAGGGUGCGUAGGCGGGUCUUUAAGUCAGGGGUGAAAUCCUGGAGCUCAACUCCAGAACUGCCUUUGAUACUGAAGAUCUUGAGUCCGGGAGAGGUGAGUGGAACUGCGAGUGUAGAGGUGAAAUUCGUAGAUAUUCGCAAGAACACCAGUGGCGAAGGCGGCUCACUGGCCCGGUACUGACGCUGAGGCACGAAAGCGUGGGGAGCAAACAGGAUUAGAUAACCUGGUAGUCCACGCCGUAAACGAUGAAUGCCAGCCGUUAGUGGGUUUACU